AUUUCAUAAUGGCCUAAUCUCAUUUAAAUGAGAACGGAGGAACCAAUCUUUUUGGGGUUAAUUCUGCAUUUGCAGAAGGGAUGAUUUAACUCUUUCGCCAUCCUACCCGUCAGCUAACUUCGUCGGCUAAUGCGAAGGAGGUC
rnacentral:sRNA from 2 species